UACGUAGGGUCCGAGCGUUGUCCGGAUUUAUUGGGCGUAAAGAGCUCGUAGGCGGCUCAGUAAGUCGGAUGUGAAAUCUCCAAGCUUAACUUGGAAAUGGCAUCGGAUACUAUUCGGCUCGAGGAAUGGAGGGGAGACUGGAAUACUUGGUGUAGCAGUGAAAUGCGUAGAUAUCAAGUGGAACACCAGUGGCGAAGGCGGCUCACUGGACCGGUACUGACGCUGAUGCGCGAAAGCGUGGGGAGCAAACGGG
rnacentral:rRNA from 1 species